rnacentral:rRNA from 1 species
UACGUAGGUGACAAGCGUUGUCCGGAUUUACUGGGCGUAGAGAGCGCGCAGGCGGUCGAUCAAGUCGAGUGUGAAAGCCCCCGGCUCAACUGGGGAGGGUCAUUCGAUACUGAUCGACUCGAAGGCAGGAGAGGGUAGUGGAAUUCCCGGUGUAGUGGUGAAAUGCGUAGAUAUCGGGAGGAACACCAGUGGCGAAGGCGACUACCUGGCCUGUUCUUGACGCUGAGGCGCGAAAGCUAGGGGAGCAAACGGG